rnacentral:rRNA from 1 species
GGGGGGGGGGGGUGCCUUAUACAUGCAAGUAGAACGCUGAUGUUUGGUGUUUACACUAGACUGAUGAGUUGCGAACGGGUGAGUAACGCGUAGGUAACCUGCCUCAUAGCGGGGGAUAACUAUUGGAAACGAUAGCUAAUACCGCAUAAGAGUGAUUAACACAUGUUAGUUAUUUAAAAGGAGCAAUUGCUUCACUGUGAGAUGGACCUGCGUUGUAUUAGCUAGUUGGUGAGGUAAAGGCUCACCAAGGCGACGAUACAUAGCCGACCUGAGAGGGUGAUCGGCCACACUGGGACUGAGACACGGCCCAGACUCCUACGGGAGGCAGCAGUAGGGAAUCUUCGGCAAUGGACGGAAGUCUGACCGAGCAACGCCGCGUGAGUGAAGAAGGUUUUCGGAUCGUAAAGCUCUGUUGUUAGAGAAGAACGUUGGUAGGAGUGGAAAAUCUACCAAGUGACGGUAACUAACCAGAAAGGGACGGCUAACUACGUGCCAGCAGCCGCGGUAAUACGUAGGUCCCGAGCGUUGUCCGGAUUUAUUGGGCGUAAAGCGAGCGCAGGCGGUUCUUUAAGUCUGAAGUUAAAGGCAGUGGCUUAACCAUUGUACGCUUUGGAAACUGGAGGACUUGAGUGCAGAAGGGGAGAGUGGAAUUCCAUGUGUAGCGGUGAAAUGCGUAGAUAUAUGGAGGAACACCGGUGGCGAAAGCGGCUCUCUGGUCUGUAACUGACGCUGAGGCUCGAAAGCGUGGGGAGCAAACAGGAUUAGAUACCCUGGUAGUCCACGCCGUAAACGAUGAGUGCUAGGUGUUAGGCCCUUUCCGGGGCUUAGUGCCGCAGCUAACGCAUUAAGCACUCCGCCUGGGGAGUACGACCGCAAGGUUGAAACUCAAAGGAAUUGACGGGGGCCCGCACAAGCGGUGGAGCAUGUGGUUUAAUUCGAAGCAACGCGAAGAACCUUACCAGUCUUGACAUCCUUCUGACCGGGCCUAGAGAUAGGCUUUCUCUUCGGAGCAGAAGUGACAGGUGGUGCAUGGUUUGUCGUCAGCUCGUGUCGUUGA